rnacentral:rRNA from 1 species
CUACGGGACGCUGCAGUGGGGAAUAUUGGACAAUGGGGGAAACCCUGAUCCAGCAAUGCCGCGUGUGUGAAGAAGGCCUGCGGGUUGUAAAGCACUUUCGGUUGGGAGGACUGCUUCUAGCACUAAUAUUGUUGGAAGUUGACGUUACCUUCAGAAGAAGCACCGGCUAACUCCGUGCCAGCAGCCGCGCGUAAUACGGAGGGUGCAAGCGUUAAUCGGAAUUACGGGGCGUAAAGCGCGCGUAGGCGGCUAGAUCAGUCGGGUGUGAAAGCCCCGGGCUUAACCUGGGAACUGCAUCCGAUACUGUCUAGAUUGAGUACAGGAGAGGAGAGUGGAAUUCCACAUGUAGCGGUGAAAUGCGUAGAUAUGUGGAGGAACACCAAUGGCGAAGGCAGCUCUCUGGCCUGAUACUGACGCUGAGGUGCGAAAGCGUGGGGAGCAAACAGGAUUAGAUACCCGCGUAGUC